AGUGGCUGAUGACCCGGGAGCCCCCCGGGUGCCGGCGGGUGAACUCGCUGAUGUUGUACACCUUCCGGUCGAUCACGAGCCACCGCUCAUUCUCGCGCCCGGAGCGCUGCGCCACCUCGUCCCAGGAAAUACCAUGUAAGACACAGCAAGAAGGCAGUCCCAUCUGCAAGCCAGGAAGAAAUCCCACCGUGGUGACACCCUGAUCUUAGACAUUCAGUCUAACCCUAACCCUAACUGCGAGAAAACGCAUUUCUGCUUUUUAAGCCACUGGGCCUGUGGUGUUUUGAUAUGGUGGCCUGAGCUGAUAUAUUACGUAUCCUGAGAGAAAAAUCUCAGUCAGAAAAACAAACGAAAUGGUCAGCAACCAAGAACAUUCAACUGGAAUUACAGGCCAGAUCUUGUACAAAACAAGUUCCAAAGAGCAGGACGCGGGUAACCAGAGGGCCCGAUGACAGCCCUGGUCUGCCAUAGGGUAGUCGUAUAAUCUUGGGCAAAACGCUCCGGCUUCUGCCUGUACCUUCGCCACUGAGAUGGUCGGACUAUAUGAGUUUUGUGAAUAUAUGUUAUUAUUAUUUUUAAGUAUAGAGGUAAUUCGUGUUCAUUUAAAAACUUCAAUCAGGGGCGCCUGGGUGGCUCAGUCGGUUGAGCGUCCAACUUCGGCUCAGGUCAUGAUCUCGUGGUCUGUGAGUUUGAGCCCCACGUCGGGCUCUGUGCUGACAGCUCGGGGCCUGGAUCCUGCUUCAGAUCCUGUGUCUCCCCCUCUCUCUGCCCCUUCACCACUCUCUCUCUCUCUCUCUCUCUCUCAAAAAUAAACAUUUAAAAAAUAAAAUUUAAAUACAAUAAAAUAAAAUAAAAUAAAAACUUCAACCAUUACAGAAAUAUGUGGAGUAAAACGUGAACAUUCCCUUGCCUUUCUCUCUGCAGAGUUAACCAUAGUUACCCGCAUAGCACAGAUCCUCCUAGACUUUUUUCCGCCAUGGCCCUGCUCAAAUGUUCACCCUUUCAUGUGGCCUUCCCAUGUCUCAGGUCCCGUAUCUUCCUGCUCUUUUCUCCUUUGGCACUUUAUAUGGGAAGACAAAGAGGUCAAGGGGGCUGAAGGCAAAGGGAAGCAGGUGCCUCUGUGGGCCGGUCAUGGGGGCAGGGCAGCAAUUCAGAGCUUCUCAUGCUUUGGAGUAGGAAACCUCUGAAGAGCCAGUUAUGGAGCUGCCCACCCCAGCACCCAACUGACAAAGAGAGCCAGUGUGGCCGGGAUGUUCAUGGGAAAAGAGCCACAAUGUAUACCUUAUAGAACAAAUUUUAAAUGUAUUUGGUCAUUUGAUUGUUUGUUCGUUCAUUCAUUCAUUCAUUCAUUCAUUCAUUUUGAGAGAGAAAGUACGCCUGAGCCAGCGCAGAGCCUGAUGCGGGGCUUGAACUCACGAACCGUGAGAUCAUUGGUCCUUUAAUUGCUUUAAUCGAGGCAUAACGUACAUAUGGUAACAUACACAAAUCUUGAGUAUACAACUUGAAGAUUUUCACACACACACACACACACACACACACACACACACACACACACUUAUGCUGCUACCACCCAGACAAGGAACAUUUCCAAUACCCAGGGCGGUCUCCCCAUCCCGAGGAAGCCACUCUUCUAACCAGUAUCACCAUCUAUUCACUUGGGCUGUUCUUGGAUCUCAUCUAAAUGGCAUCUCGCAGCACGUUGUAUCGUAGGUCUGCUGUCUUUUGAUCAUCACUGCGUCUGUGAAAUUCCUCCAGGUUGUUGCACAUGAACAAUAACAAUUUUUAUUGCUGAGUGCUGUCCCACCGUGGGACCAUAUCACGAUUUAUUUAUGCUUCCUACUGCUGAUGGACGUUUGUCACGUUUCCAGUUUGGGGCUGUUACGAAUAAAGCUGUCUGGAUUGUUCUGUG